rnacentral:rRNA from 1 species
GACGAAAGAUGGCGGCGUGCUUAACACAUGCAAGUCGAACGGAAAGGCCCUGCUUUUGUGGGGUGCUCGAGUGGCGAACGGGUGAGUAACACGUGAGUAACCUGCCCUUGACUUUGGGAUAACUUCAGGAAACUGGGGCUAAUACCGGAUAGGAGCUCCUGCUGCAUGGUGGGGGUUGGAAAGUUUCGGCGGUUGGGGAUGGACUCGCGGCUUAUCAGCUUGUUGGUGGGGUAGUGGCUUACCAAGGCUUUGACGGGUAGCCGGCCUGAGAGGGUGACCGGCCACAUUGGGACUGAGAUACGGCCCAGACUCCUACGGGAGGCAGCAGUGGGGAAUAUUGCACAAUGGGCGGAAGCCUGAUGCAGCAACGCCGCGUGCGGGAUGACGGCCUUCGGGUUGUAAACCGCUUUCGCCUGUGACGAAGCGUGAGUGACGGUAAUGGGUAAAGAAGCACCGGCUAACUACG